GAAUCAUGCAGAAUUUGUCACUUCUGUGUGGUUGGUGGCCUGCGUGACACACAGAUGAAUUUAGGGAUGGGGUCCUGGGGCCCUCAGCAGCAGGUGGGGGCAGGCAGAGGUGGCAGCUCCCCAGCUGGGGGGGAUCUGUGAUGGGGCUGUGGGUCCCAGCUGGGCAGGGCACCCACACACACCCAGAGAGGAAGAAGAGGAAGAGGAGGCGUCUGCAGCAAUGCUACACCUUGUGCCCAGGGGAUGCUUCAGCCUGGCUGGAGGAAACCCGGGUGGAAAUUCAGCUACUAGUUAUCCUGCCUUGCAAGGAACUCCAUGGAAACGUGUCCAGAGAACCCUUCCUCUCACCCAGUCUUGUGGCAAUUUGAAUUCACCUCUCGCCUCCCUAAACUCCUGGAUGUAUCUUGGACUUGCUGAACUUCCUAUUUCCUUCCUUCCCCAGGCACAUCGGGCCUUUGAAAGAGGGGAUGGAAACAAAACAUGGAAAAGAAAAUUAGCACUUUCAAAGUGUUAAUCCUUUGAAAAACAGCAGCAACAAAUUAAUUAAGUACCUACACAUCCCUCUUCCUCCUUCCUAACUCAGAGGUAGGUAAGGGAGAUAUGGAAGACAAAACUUAGGAAUCAGUUACCUUGAGAGCACCAGCCACUAUUGCUUGCUAAGUAACUGUAUGAAGUGGCAAAGCUUAAGAGCGAAGUAAGGUUUAAUGGUAUUCUCACAUAAAUUUACUUGGAUUUCUUAAAAACUUUUCACCUGAAUUUAGCAGAAGCAUAGCGUAGACUUUAGGGAUGACCAGAAUAAAAUCAGAAAGCAAUCACCUGGAACGUCUGUGACUUCUCUAGCACAGAAUGCAAGGCCAACAAUCUGUUACCUAUUUGUAUACAACUACUUGCAGUUCCUUGGCUUGCUGAUCACUGAUCUUGAGACGUGUAAGUAAAAAUUGCACUAUUUUACUUGAAUGCAGCUGUUUAGCAUGUGCUUGCCUCCGACACUGAAAGCAGACUUUUGGUUAUUUCUAAAAACAAAGCAAAACCAACCCAUUAUCCUGGGGGAAAAUGAGUGUAAAUCAAAUUAUUCAGGCUUUAAUUUGUAGGGUUUUGACAAACAUUUAUUAAUGCAAGUCUCAGCAACAAUUUUCUUUUUAUUUCAGUAUUUUCAACCAGAUGGAAUGUUAUAGCUCUACACCACAAAGCCUGUAUGAUACACAAUCCUUGCUUAUCCCAGCUCCAAACUGCUUUGUGUAUCAAACAUGCACAAACUGUGUAUAGAUGGCUCCACAAUCUCCACGUCUGAGACAGCACGCCCCAAGAAACUGUUAGCCUGCUUUGCUCU